GAGCAUUCAAACAAUGUGCAUGAUGGAGGAGGGGAGCUCGGUCUGAGGAUUAUUGCUACAUACCGAGGCUCUUCCUGGAGGAAUAUUUGCAGAGCCUAGUGAUAGCCACUGAACAGUCAACAUUUGCUAAUAAUAACCACAGCAGUUUGAAAGAAGACUUUUCAUAGGGAGAUCUAAGUUUCCUCGACUGUCAAGAGCAUGGGGAGUGAAGGCUGAGCUAAACCUCUGAAAAACAUUUAGGUCACCUCCCAGCAAAUACACCAAGGAACUGCCAAAGAAAAGCAUAACAAUCUUUCAGCUUCAAUCAUUUCAGCUGAAAUUAUAAUGCAGAGGAAUGUCGACGUGACUGCCUUCUUCCAGAACUCAUGAUCGUAUGCCAGGCUGUCAUGCAGAUUGGUCUUUCUGAGGUUCACUGGUAUCCAGUCCACGUGCUGAGUCGUUGGUCAUCUUCCAUCCACAGUCAUCGCAAGAGUCAUUGUACUGACACAGCUGUCCAAUCUCCACUGGUUAUGCCCACACCAACAUAGCCUGGCCUCCCUCAACCUGUCCAGGGGCGAGAACUGGGGUCAGCUGCCACCAUUUGCACUAUGCAGCUUUAGUAAGAUGCUGGGCUUCACCAUCAUCAGUCGCCAUUGAUUCUCGGUAUUUAAAUUGUUUCACUGUUCUAAGCUGUCUGCCUGUAAUAUCCUUUAUGGAGCUGUGAAGGAGUAAAUAAUCCUAUGUGGAAAGAAGGAAAACUAACCUGAAACUACACAGUGGAUUGGUUCGGUUCAAUCCCAAUGGAAACUGAGCCUGCAGAAGAGCUGUAGUUAAGUGAGAUAUUGCCAUCAUUUGAAACUGAACAUAUUUCAUCAAUAUUCUUCAUGCUAAUUUCAGUUUAACCUCACUACCUUUACAAUAUAGUAUUUAAAAUGUGGCCUUAAAAGUCUGUUGAAGAAUGAAUGACUAGCUAAAUGCCC